AGUAAGGAAUAUUGCGCAAUGGACGACAGUCUGACGCAGCGACGCCGCGUGGGGGAUGAAGGUCUUCGGAUUGUAAACCCCUUUCGGGUGGAAAGAUGGCUCUCGACAACGAGAGCGGACGGUACCACCAGAAGCAGCCACGGCCAACUUCGUGCCAGCAGCCGCGGUAAUACGAAGGUGGCAAGCGUUGUUCGGAUUCACUGGGCGUACAGGGUGCGUAGGCGGUUCGGUAAGCCCUCUGGGAAAGCUCCUGGCUCAACCGGGAAAGUUCAGGGGGGACUGCCGGGCUAGAGGACGGGAGA
rnacentral:rRNA from 1 species